rnacentral:pre_miRNA from 1 species
AAAAAGACAAUUUCUAGGUUUUUAGAUAGAAUUUUUGACUCUUCAUCUUAUUUGAAAAAUUUUUAUAAUUAGUAUUUUUAUUGUUACCCCAUGAUAAAACAUAAAUAGUACUUUACAUACGACUAUUUUUUUCUAAUUUUUUAAUAAAUUUUCAAAUAAGAUGGUGGUUAAACGUUGAACAUACAAAACCCAGAAAUUAUC